rnacentral:tRNA from 2 species
GCGCCCGUAGCUCAAUGGAUAGAGCGCUGGCCUCCGAAGCCAGACAUUCCGGUUCAAGUCCGAACGGGCGCA